UGAGGAAUAUUGCACAAUGGGGGAAACCCUGAUGCAGCGAUGCCGCGUGCGGGAUGAAGGGGCUUUGCCUCGUAAACCGCUGUCGGAUGGGAAGAAAGGGUUCUUAGAGGACCUGGGACUGUACCAUAAGAGGAAGGGACGGCUAACUACGUGCCAGCAGCCGCGGUAAUACGUAGGUCCCGAGCGUUGUCCGGAAUUACUGGGUGUAAAGGGUGCGCAGGCGGCCAUGUGCGUCAGAAGUGAAAUAUCACGGCUUAACCGUGAGGGUGCUUUUGAAACGGCGUGGCUUGAGUACGGGAGAGGAUGAUGGAAUUCCUGGUGUAGCAGUGAAAUGCGUAGAUAUCAGGAGGAACACCGGUGGCGAAGGCGGUCAUCUGGCCCGGUACUGACGCUCAGGCACGAAAGUGUGGGUAGCAAACAGG
rnacentral:rRNA from 1 species